UACGUAGGGUGCGAGCGUUAAUCGGAAUUACUGGGCGUAAAGCGUGCGCAGGCGGUUCGUUAAGUUCGUUGUGAAAGCCCCGGGCUCAACCUGGGAACUGCAAUGGAAACUGGCGGGCUUGAGUGUGGCAGAGGGGGGUGGAAUUCCGCGUGUAGCAGUGAAAUGCGUAGAGAUGCGGAGGGAACACCGAUGGCGAAGGCAGCCCCCUGGGCCAACACUGACGCUCAGGCACGAAAGCGUGGGGAGCAAACAGG
rnacentral:rRNA from 1 species